AUUAAAAAAGGAAAGGCUGUCUGCAAACAGGUGAUCUCAGAAGGGGGUUUGUGCCUCUCUAGGAAGGAAGCCUCAUUGUGGACAUCUGGGAGCAGGUUCUGUCAAUAGAAGAUACUAAAGAAAGAAAGCCAGGAGAAGAAAAGGGACUUCUUUCUUCAAGGUCUAAGCUGUUCUAAUAGCAUUAUUCUGGGAAUGGCAUCUUCCACUCCUCCUAGUACAAAGAACCUGCUUCCUCAUACCCCGUCAAGGAACUGCAGCAUCCAGGUGAUGGCCACAGUGGCAGAACCUAGGAAGCCAAGAAGAAACCAGAGAAUGGAGACACAUGGCAGCAAUGGCAAGUCAUCAGACCCAGGAUUUCCCAAAGAACACUGGUCCAGGAAGAUGCUCUGUGAAAAAGUGUUCCCUGGUCGGAGAAAUUUGUGAAACACUUUGCAUAAUACUUAAAAGAAUGUAUGGCACAUCAAAGGUAAUAUGCAAUAAAAGAAUUCAUUUUUUUAAAACCAA
ensembl:lncRNA LINC01905 long intergenic non-protein coding RNA 1905